CUUUCCGCCGGCGGCGGCGGCGACGGCCAUGGCGGCUCGGCGCGCGCUCCGGGCCGGAGCUCGCAUCCACGCCGUGCGCAGUGCCCGACUCCUCGCGGCGCUGGCCUGGGGGCCGGUGGCCGGAGCUGCGCUUCCCUGUGCGCCCAAGACCUGUGUGUUGGGGGGUGCGCGGCGAGGUCCCGGCGCCCCCGCAGAGCAUCGCGAACCCGGCGGCGCUCGCCGCACCCUCCCAGCGCCGAGGUCUUGGGGUACGUCGAGGUAGCAGUGGUUUGAUGGGCGAACCGGGGCGGUUCACAGAGUUGGCCUGCGGGGACCAGAGCCACCUGCCGGGGUCUCAGGAAGGGCAGUGACUGGAGGCUCUGAACCACAGGCGAGAAUGACCCGCCCUCAGGAUCCAGACCACGAUCCGUGGGCCCAGCUCGGUCCUGCGUGACUGGUCCGUGGGACAGACCUGCAGAUGUGGCUCUGAUCCUGGACAGCAGCCGCGCUGUCCUGAGGCCCACCAGCCAAGGAGAGGAAGCUCAGCCAGCGAGAGGACAGUGGUCCCGGCUCCAUCACCAGGGCGCGUGCCCACUGUGUUGUCUGCAAAGUCAGCUGUCCUCGGUUCCCAUGGAGCCUGGAGCCAGGAAGCCACCGCCUGAGCCGGCACCCCCUCCAGCGCGCUGGAGAUGACGGGGGCAGCGGAGCUGGGAAGGCAACCCCCGGAGGAGGCUGGGUUCUGCAUGUGCCAAGUGCCGCCUGGCAGGGGCAGUGGCUGUGGAAGCGGAAGCAGACGGGUCCAGGGACGUGGCAUGUCGUGCGGGGACUGUGCGGGGCCCAGGAGGGCGCCCCUCGGCCGGUUGUUCCUCCAGUGGCCGUGGGGGUGCCCCCUGUCCUCACCGUCUGGGUUACCUCGCCCGCCUGCCCGCCCCGAAGUAUCUGGGAUGAGAUUUAAGCAGCAGUGCCAAGAAUGUGGACCUUGCAGGUGACACUUUGGAACAUGGUGUUUUAAGCAAAAUGGAAGGAUUUAAUGCCUUUUUCUUCAACGAGAAGGGUGUCUAGAGAAUAAAUGGGUCUUGAAUAAA